UGCCGAACAGCUGCUUUAGUGAACAACGGAAACAUCUGCCUGCGUUCUUCUCGUUACAUUCGAAUUUGUUAGCUCCAGAGAGGCGAGUUUCUUUUUCUGGUGUGGUGGUUGCCUACAGAAAACUGCGGAAAGGUAUCUACGAGCUGUUAAACAGCGUCGGGAAGUGUAACCAUUACGUUUUUACGCAGCUUUCAGCCUUGAAGAAAAAUGGUCCGACAGAGUUGGGUUGACAUGACAGGAAUUCACAUACCUUUCGCUGGUAUUCUGCUUGCCUCGCUCUUUUGUGUAUACGGAACAGCGCUUUCAACAGAUCAAGAUCAGUGCAUAUAUCCGGAGUGCGAUCUACAAGAUAAAAUGUGCUGUUUCAAAAAUGGCACAAACUGCGACUGUUAUUGCAAAGAGGGUACAACAGUAUGUGAAACUUUUUUCCAAGAAAACUGCCGUUCUCCUAAAAUGAUCACGUGUAAUAAAAGAACUGCAAUCUGCAUUUGUCGUUCGACCCCAGCACGAUAGAGAUACCAGGUUGACCAGUUAUUUAUGGCUCACCAAUGGUCUCUGAUUAUUACCGAAGCAUUGUUAACCACCGGAUGACUGGAUGGCAGGCACAGUUAUUGUGCGCAAGACUGCGACGGCCUACAAUUAUUCGCAAUAAACAUUUUUAUUACAAGUGA